UCAGUCACUGUGGGUGUCUCUAGAUGGAACCCUGAGCAUUUAUUCAUAUGGUGUUUUUGGCAGCUUCUGAGCUCCUCCUAGAUGGCAGUGACCCAGGCCAGACGCAGGGAUGGGCUGCUUUGUGAGAGAGCACUGAAGGAUAUGCAGGUGCUUCCAGGAAUCACCUCUAAAUGCUUACACUCAAAACCUUGCAUCAGAUUUUGCUUCUAGAGGAGCAAGAUACUUCCCAUCUAAAUUGAGUCUCCUUGGGCCGGCCGAGUGGCGCAUUGGUUAAGAGCUGACUUGGGACG